UACAGAGGUCUCAAGCGUUGUUCGGAUUCAUUGGGCGUAAAGGGUGCGUAGGCGGCGCGGUAAGUCGGGUGUGAAAUCUUGGAGCUUAACUCCGAAACUGCAUUCGAUACUGCCGUGCUUGAGGACUGGAGAGGAGACUGGAAUUUACGGUGUAGCGGUGAAAUGCGUAGAUAUCGUAAGGAAGACCAGGGGCGAAGGCGGGGCUCUGGACAGUUCCCGGCGCUGAGGCACGAAGGUCAGGGGAGCAAACGGG
rnacentral:rRNA from 1 species